GUCUCAGUAGCUCAGUUGGUUAGAGUGCGUCGUUGGUAACGACGAGGUCGUGAGUUCAAUCCUCACCUGAGACU
rnacentral:tRNA from 1 species